rnacentral:lncRNA from 1 species
GAGAUUUUAUAGCUUGUCACGGUUUCUACUAUAUUAAGAAUCAAGUCUAACAAAAUCAGAAUAGAUGCUAAGCCUGGAAACCCACAGGAAACAUGUUAUUCUUCAGUAUUUGCAAAGCACUGAUAAAAACAUCUCUCUUCUCUCAAUCUUGCUUCCUUCUUUUCAUUUACUAAAUAGGCUUUUGAGCCUCACAAGACUUUGAGAUUUUAUGGAUAUGAAACCUGCUAUCAUUUAGCAUCCUGCCUCUGGGAAUAGACAUGGAUUCUCACUAUGACACCCAGGCUGGAGUGCAGUGGCACAAUCAUAGCUGACUACAGCCUCGAAUUUCUGGGCUCAAGCAAGGCUUUCAUCUCAACCUCCCCAGGAGCUGGGAUUACAGAUGGUGUCAGAAGCGGGGUUCAAAGUAGAGCUUUAAUGACCCCCAGAAGUGCUGAGUGAACAAGCAAGGUACCUGCAAGGACCCACUUGUGUCCUUUGAUCUCUCAGAGCAGUGGAAUUUUCAGCCUGCCAGCCUGCCCUACAGAAUUCAGACUUGUCAGCCUCCACAAUCAGUUCUAGAGGCUGAUAAGUCCAAGCAUAUGGUGCCAGCAUCUGGUGAGGCCUUCUUGCUGUGUAAUCUCAUGGCAGAAGAGUGGAAGGACAAGUGAGCACAUGCAAAAGGGAUUGUACAAGGUGCUGAGCUGGCUUUAUUACAACUUGCUCUUGAGAUAACUACCAACUCUGAUGAUAGGACCUUAAUCUAUUCAUAAGGGUGCUGCCUAUGAUUUGAUUACCUCUUAAAGGCCCCACAUCUUAAUACUUUUACAAUGGCAAUUAAAUGUCAACAUGAGUUUCAGUGGAGACAAACAUUCAAACCAUAGCAAAGGCUUAGAAUAGAAUCCUAGGAAUUCCAAAAUUGCCAGACAGAGAAAAAGAUGACAGCUACAGAAUCUGUGAAAUAUGUUCAUCAAAGUAAAAAGAAAUCCAGACAGUCAGUGACCUGUGAGCCAAUGGAAGAGAGAGACCACACAGGUGAGUGCCAAUGAGAGAUCAAAUGAGAUAUAGGUCAUAGUUACUUGUUCUAUUAAAUGACAUAGAAGAUAAAGGUGGCCUUAGCAAAAAUAGAAUUUCAAACUGUUAGGGAGGAAGCCAGACUGGAAUUAGAGAGGUAGCUGAAGAAUGACAGGGAAUGAGUAGAGAGGAACAGAGAGUAUAGGUUCUUUUGAAGAGCCAGGAAAGUUGGCAUGAAGAAGCUCAAUAUCUCUUUCUGUCUCUCAUUCUCACUCUGUGUGUGUAUGUGUGUGUGUGUGUGUGUGUGGUGGGGAGAAGGAAUAAGAGACAGAAAUCUUGAAACAUUAAAAUUAUCAUUAAAUGAUGGUGAGAAGGAAAGAAAUAUAAAAGUUAUGGUAAGAGAAAAAUAUGAGUAAUAUUUAACUCUUUCCAGAAAGGAUCCUCAAACCAAAGAACAUCCAUUUAGGCACUAUGGCUAGUGUUCAAACACACAAUAACCUCAAAAUAACACUUGCUGUCAAGCAGAAUUUGUAAAACUGAGCUGAAUAAUCAUGGAUUCAAAGGAAUUUAUUUCCUGACAUAUCAAAAUGGCCUUGUUUAAAUCAUGUAAUCGAGUCUAUAAUAAAAAUUUAAUCUUAAGGUUUUAUAGCUCAAAAAAAUCUGUAUUUUAAAUUUUUAGGCAGUUUCUUCUAAGGUGAACAAUGGUAUUUACCUUUUGGGUAGAACAUGACUUAUUUUUGGAAGUAUUGCUUGAGUAAUAUUAAGAAUUAGGAAAUAUCUACUUGCUGAUAUGAGAGUAUACAAAAAUGUUUGCUUGACAAGCUUCCGAGGGCUCUGUAAGAUUGUGGUGAUAUCAGAUAAUGCCCUUCCCAAAUGUGUCUGCUCAUCAAUGAAUUUACACACAUGCAUAACAGCUUCCUGGGAGCAGAAUGGCUUGUACCUGGUUCUGUCUCUGAGUGUUUCAAAGAUAUGGAAGCAUGUUUGAUGAAAGAUCAUGGAAUAGCAAAGAAAAAUAGCACCAAAAAGGCAAACAAGGCAGGGAAAGAUUCUAGACUAGUGAUUUGGGAUCAACACAGGACAGGAUGAUUAGAGAGAAUAGCUUCCUGUGCACACUAUGUAGUUUGAUGCAGAAGCCAUCCUGAUCCAGAUGCCCUGGUACUGUGGGGCGGGACCUUGGAAAAAUUACCCAGAGGAUGUGAAGUGAAAGUUUUGUUACACCAUUCUUCAGAGUGAAGGCAGUUUUCCUACAGAAACCUUCAAAAAAGGAGAUGCAUCCUUCCUUGUUCCUGGCAGUCUUGCAUUUGAGGAAAUCAGUAUGCUCCAACUUAGGUGAGUUAGGCCACUGGCCAAUUUUUUUUUUUUUCUGUAGCCCUCCUCUACUCUGAGUUCCUAAUUCCACUUGUUCUGAAUUUUUUUUGGUGACGCAUUGUCUCCAUUAUUGAACUUAGUCCUUUCAAAAAUUAGCAAAGCUGGGAAUUUUCAUCCUAUUCUUUUCCUACUUUCAGAACUUUGAACUUUGAAUUUUCAGGAAGCCAUGAAGAAUGGAGUAAGAUUCUAGGACCAGUUAACAAGAACAUGUAAAAUAAUUUGUUUGUAAAAUAAUCUUAUGAGGCUAAAGCACAAGCCAGAGCAGAUUUUUUUCAAAAUGCAUAAGCAACACUUGUUCAAUUCCACCUGCUGCAGUUAAAGAAAAACUUAUCUUUUAGUCUCCAGAGGCAGAAAAAAAGCAGAAAAGGUUGUUGAAAUUCUUCACAUUGAUUUCAGGGCAAUGAUCUCAAACGGCGCAGUGGGAACCCGCAAAUUUAAGAGCAAAGCUAGAGGAAACCAAAGUCAUAGAACAUCUGAACUCUGUCCAAACAUCGGUCGUAUUUCAAAAUUUCAGAGCCUCAGACUUCCAUGAUAAUAUCUGCCUAGUCUUUAGAAGAGUGUAUGGAAGUGUUCAAGAACCUUUCCUGAAACAACUUCUAUUACAGACACUGCUUCUUCAUGGUUAUUCCAUCAGAUUGCAAUCACUUAUAUGUUUUUUUCCACUCUUCCUUAUAUUAUGAGCACUUUUCACGUAGGGGUUCAUCUCUUUAAUAAUCAUAGCUCCCAACACAAUUGUAGGCUUAUAUUAGAUGCUCGAUAAAGAUGAGUUGAGUUAACAUGUAAAGUAAUGAAUGAGUAAGGAAAAAUAGAAUAGUUUCGAAUUAAUGCAUGUUACUGCUACUGUAAAUUUAAUGUUUUCAUUUCUAUUACUAUUUAUAUAUAAAUUUAAUUAAUUGUUAACUUUCUUUGCCAUCCAUACAUCUAUUUAUCUGCUCAUUUGAAAAUCUCUUUCCUGUUUCCUAUUAUUCAAAAUAUUAAAAGCAAAUAUUACUUAAAUAUUUAAAUCACUCUUUUUCCAUGUUAAGUUUCUCAGGAUGCAGAAUGUUGCUGUACACUGAGAAAUAUUAGGCGAUACAAAAUGGCUACUAUAACGUAAUGUUCUAGAAAAUGAUAAAAGUCAAACCCAUUGGUUUUUGCUGCCAACACAAGUUUGUCAAUGUAAUUAAUGCCCUUUAGCCUGGGAGGGUUGUAUGACAGGAAAAAUGGCAUCAAAGCCAUUUUUAUUUAAAAAAUAAAUUUAAUAUUACUUGAUAAUAAGGGAGCUAUAUAAGCAAAAAUCUUAGAAUUUUCUUUUUCUUUUUUUUCCUUAGUUUCACAUCUUUCUACAUAGUAUCCAAAUCCCAGUUGUUGAUACUAAUUUUCUUGCCUUCUUACCCUUAACAAGUUUGGAGACAAAGUUAAUAUCAUUAGUAGUAUGUAAACUAAUUCCUAAAGCAAAAGUCUCUAAAAGUGUGAUCCAUGUCCCAUUUUUUAUUGGUCUGCAAUGAGGUAAGCACAGAAAUUUUAAUCACCUCCACGCAUACCUUCAAUGAGCAACAUGUACAGUUUUUUGAGACUCUUCUCUCUUUUCCUGUUAUUUUCUGAUUGCAUUUAUAAAAAUGCAAUUUUGUGUUUGUUGAAUCUGAUGAUAAAAAAUGAGGAAACACCGCAUAUUCUCACUCAUAGGUGGGAAUUGAACAAUGAGAUCACAUGGACA